CCCUAGCUAUGUUUCCAGGCUUAGGUAGGUGGUACAUGAAUUAUCUCCAUCUUACAAUAGUUGGCUAGACAAAUUGCUUACCAUCUCUGGGAGGGAAGAGAGACACAAUUUGGAUCUUAUAAUUUUGGAAAAUGUAUGUUGAUAAUGAUUACAUUUAGUUGGAAAAAUAAAAUAUCUUUUAAAAAUAAAAUAAAAUAAUAGUAGAUGAAUAGAGAGCUACACUUGGCAUCAGAAAGACUCUGGUUCUUGUCUCUCCCCUGACAAUGGUGGGUGGAAUCCUGAGCAAAUCAACUCCUAGCGGCAAAGCAACUCUAACAAUAUGAACCGCAGAAUCAGGGUCACAUCUUCUGAGGUCAAAUCUGGCGGAGCCAGGGCAAAGGACUCCAAGAGGUAGCCAUGAGAAGGGAGAACAUCCUGGUCACGGGAGAUCAUCUGGCAAAGUGUGGCCAUAGAAAUAGAAUGUAGUGUUGGAGGAGCAUCAGAAUACGUCUGUUUGGUUAGAAUGUGGAAGGUUUAAGGAGGAGUGAUACAUAAUCUCCCUAGAAGCAGAUCAGAAUCAGUUAGAUAUGGGCAGAGCCCAGCAGAGGAGCUCAGUCAAAAAUCCUGAGGAUAACAGAUUUAGAGCUAGAAAGUCCCUCAGAACCCAUCUAAUGCAGCCUCCUCGUUUUAUAGAUGGGACCCAGAGAAGUUAAGUGACUCGCUUAAGGUCAUAGGCAUUAAUUUCAAGAGAUGAAAGACUUGAACUAGGCUCCUGCUUCCAGAACCAAAGUUCCUUCCGUUGGGCUGCAGUGCUAUAGUUUGUCCUAGAAGCCAUUGGGAGCCACUGAAAUUUCUUGACCAAAGGGGUGGCACAAUCAGAUGAGUGCUGUGAGAAAACCAAUUUGGCAGCUGUGUGGAGAACCUCUCGGAGAAGAGGGAGAGAGGGGGUGGUAGUUAGGAGGCUCCUGCAGUUAUGCAGCCACGUGAUGGGGUGCAGAUCUAGGAUGGUGGUUGUGUAACUAGAAGCACAAGGGAUGCUCUAGAGGCUGAACUGGCAACUGAUUCAACAUGGAGCUUAUUGUUAAUAGCAAAGAAGAGAUUUGAAUCCAGGAGCCUAACUCCAAGUCCCUUGUUCCUUCUACUCUACCAAGAAAGAUUUCCUUUCCAGAACACUCUCUUCUUAUAAGAGGGAACUUAGACAAGAGAUGCAGCUUACACCGUAACUUCUCCAUUUUCUAUUUUGGAUCCAAUUUGACGUGCCCGUGUAUUUCUACCAAAACAAAAAGAAGCUCAUUAAGGGAUGGAUGGUUUCCUUUUUUUGUCUUUGAAUCUUCAGCAUCUGUGACACAGACUAAUCCUCAGGAAAGCUCUAUAUCGAUGUGCUUAGAGAAUAGUCUCUAGACAUGGUUGAUGAACUACAGCUCAUGUUGGGAUUUUCUGAUGCAACCCUCUUUGGAGAAAGGAUCAUUUACAACAUCUGCAAACUUCCUACCAAACUUCCCACAACAUUGCUCGUAGCUCUGCUUCCAGAGUUUGCCACAAUGCAUCAAUCAUCUUGGAACUUCCCUCAGCAUUUAUGGUCUUUUCACCCUGGAACAUCUCCUUGCCUUCUGCACCUCCCUUGGUCAGCAUCUCCCAGAAACUCCAUUCUGAAGAAGGAUGCAAGUCCUCUUUUGUCUACUUUUAUUCUUCAUUCCUCUCUUGUCUGCUUCUCAUGCUCCAUAUUUUUCCACCAUGCUCCCACACAAAUAGCUUCCCCUGCUACCUACCCUAUAUCAAUCUUUCAGCUAUUCUUUUAUGUCAUCUUUUCCCAUUAGAACAUGAGCUCUUUGAGGGCAGGCACUACCUUCCUCUUUGUACUUGUAACCCCAAGGUUUAGCACAGUGCGUAGCCCACUGACAACUUAGAGAGCAAAUCCACUAAGUUGCUAGGACUGUGAAGGUCAGAUGAGGAGUUUGCCUCUUCUACAGUUGAUUCCAGAGGUAGAGCAUCUAAGCCACUGGGAAGUGAGUCUUGGAAAAACUGUGUAGAAUUCUAUGGGAAUUGAUAUUGGGAAAACCAUCAACAUAAUUGACUAUAUCAAUAACAAAACCAACAGAAACUCUGUUGCUAUUGCAAGAAAUGCAAAAAAAAAAAGUAUUUGCCAAACUAUAAUACCCAUUCCUUAAAAUUUUAUGGGAAUGAGUUAAUCACUGGUUUGUCAAAGGGUUGCGUUGAUAAUGACUCCAAGUUCUGCUCCCUUUCAGGGCAGCUGAUGGGCUAUUUAAGGGUUUAAUAUCUCUGUAUCUAUUCCUGGCCUCCUGUGAGUCCUUGGUAUCUUGGACAUUUUCUAUGGGAUGAAAUAAAUGUUGUUCCACACUCAGUGUGCAUUUAGUUUAUUGAGGGCCUAUGAGGGACCUAGGGAUCCUAAUACCCGCAUUUGAGAAAACUAGCACAUGAGCUAUAAUUAAACUUUAUCUUGGAGAUUUUCCUGGAUUAACUGAAGCCAAAGCUCUUAGAGUCAGGACCCCAGGACCCAAACAGAAUGUAAAUUCAGAGUCCUUAGGGGACUCCGUAACAUGGCUUAUAUUACCAUUCAUCUGUCCUCAGCAAAUGAAGACGCUUUGGAAUGCCACUAUUCUCUUUCCAGUAGAUUUUCAUAAUGUCCUGUUCAGCUAAGCAGGGGCAGAUGUUUCGUUCAUUUCCAAAUGAGAAAAUCGAGGUCGAGAGAAAAGAGGUCACAUUUUCAAGGUUCCAGAGCUCAUCAGGAAUCCCCAGGUAGAAGCCACUCACUCACCUCAGCUGUU